rnacentral:rRNA from 1 species
AGGUGGUGCAUGGUUGUCGUCAGCUCGUGUCGUGAGAUGUUGGGUUAAGUCCCGCAACGAGCGCAACCCUUAAGCUUAGUUGCCAUCAUUAAGUUGGGCACUCUAAGUUGACUGCCGGUGACAAACCGGAGGAAGGUGGGGAUGACGUCAAAUCAUCAUGCCCCUUAUGAUUUGGGCUACACACGUGCUACAAUGGACAAUACAAAGGGCAGCGAAACCGCGAGGUCAAGCAAAUCCCAUAAAGUUGUUCUCAGUUCGGAUUGUAGUCUGCAACUCGACUACAUGAAGCUGGAAUCGCUAGUAAUCGUAGAUCAGCAUGCUACGGUGAAUACGUUCCCGGGUCUUGUACACACCGCCCGUCACACCACGAGAGUUUGUAACACCCGAAGCCGGUGG